GCUGAUAAAUGUAAGGAAGAGAAAAAGGCAGUGAAUAUAAGAAGCAGAGUACCAUAUAUCUAACCUGACCAAAUGGGGUGAGAGCAGCUGUCUCCCAAUAGAACACAUCUACAGUGGGGUGCAAAGAUUCAAAUUGUGUGCAAAAAAAGAAGAGGUCCUUGGUUUGCCUGUCCUACCUGAAAUUAGGAGUUUUUCUAAUGGGACCUAUCAGAAAUAAGCAGAUGAAAGAGAAACUUGAAUGUGAUGAGCUGUGGAUGGAUCAGGGUUGUGCUGGCUUUUGAAGAGAAGGAAAAAUCUAGCAUCCAGCCCUGGAAAGUCUUAGAAGCUGCUGAUGGGGAAGCUGGAGAGAACAAAAUUAUGAAAUGGGAGCCUAAAUCAGAUUCACCAAGAUAACCACGUUUUACCCCAGGGAACAGCACCAUCAAGCAGCCUCACAGAGUGGCAGAAUCAACUAAUGCUGUUCUCAG